rnacentral:rRNA from 1 species
AGUGAACGCUGGCGGUAGGCCUAACACAUGCAAGUCGAACGGCAGCACAGUAAGAGCUUGCUCUUACGGGUGGCGAGUGGCGGACGGGUGAGGAAUACAUCGGAAUCUACUUUUUCGUGGGGGAUAACGUAGGGAAACUUACGCUAAUACCGCAUACGACCUACGGGUGAAAGCAGGGGAUCUUCGGACCUUGCGUGAUUGAAUGAGCCGAUGUCGGAUUAGCUAGUUGGCGUGGUAAAGGCCCACCAAGGCGACGAUCCGUAGCUGGUCUGAGAGGAUGAUCGGCCACACUGGAACUGAGACACGGUCCAGACUCCUACGGGAGGCAGCAGUAGGGAAUAUUGGGCAAUGGGCGCAAGCCUGAUCGAGCAAUGCCGCGUGGGUGAAGAAGGCCUUCGGGUUGUAAAGCCCUUUUGUUGGGAAAGAAAAGCUGCAGAUGAAAACCCCGCUGUUCUGACGGUACCCAAACAAAAAGCACCGGCUAACUACGUG